GAUGAACGCUGGCGGCGUGCUUAACACAUGCAAGUCGAACGAGAACCAUUGGAUCAAGGAUUCGUCUGAGUGAAGUUGGGGAAAGUGGCGGACGGGUGAGUAACGCGUGAGCAAUCUGCCUUGGAGUGGGGAAUAACGGCUGGAAACAGCCGCUAAUACCGCAUGAUACAGCUGAGCCGCAUGGCUCUGGCUGUCAAAGAUUUAUCGCUCUGAGAUGAGCUCGCGUCUGAUUAGCUGGUUGGCGGGGUAAAGGCCCACCAAGGCGACGAUCAGUAGCCGGACUGAGAGGUUGGCCGGCCACAUUGGGACUGAGACACGGCCCAG
rnacentral:rRNA from 1 species